rnacentral:rRNA from 1 species
UACGGAGGGGACUAGCGUUGUUCGGAAUUACUGGGCGUAAAGCGCACGUAGGCGGAUUUGUAAGUCAGGGGUGAAAUCCCGGGGCUCAACCUCGGAACUGCCUUUGAUACUGCAAAUCUCGAGUCCGGAAGAGGUGAGUGGAAUUCCUAGUGUAGAGGUGAAAUUCGUAGAUAUUAGGAAGAACACCAGUGGCGAAGGCGGCUCACUGGUCCGGUACUGACGCGGAGGUGCGAAAGCGUGGGGAGCAAACAGG